rfam:Bombyx mori DNA, contig: Bm_scaf55_contig27714, strain: p50T/Dazao, build 2, whole genome shotgun sequence.
UUAACUCAAAUUUGUAUGCAGUAGGAACGUUUGCCUACGUUUGCCGCUAGGGACGCUGUUCCAAUUGAACACAAAUUUCAGUUA